UACGUAGGGUGCAAGCGUUGUCCGGAAUUAUUGGGCGUAAAGAGCUCGUAGGCGGUUUGUUGCGUCGGCUGUGAAAUCCCGAGGCUCAACCUCGGGUCUGCAGUCGAUACGAGCAAACUAGAGUGUUGCAGGGGAGACUGGAAUUCCUGGUGUAGCGGUGAAAUGCGCAGAUAUCAGGAGGAACACCGGUGGCGAAGGCGGGUCUCUGGGCAACAACUGACGCUGAGGAGCGAAAGCUAGGGUAGCAAACGGG
rnacentral:rRNA from 1 species